rnacentral:rRNA from 1 species
UACGAAGGGGGCAAGCGUUGUUCGGAAUUACUGGGCGUAAAGGGCGUGUAGGCGGUUUGGUAAGUUAGAAGUGAAAGCCCUAGGCUCAACCUAGGAAUUGCUUUUAAGACUGCUGAACUAGAAUCCUGGAGAGGGUGGCGGAAUUCCAAGUGUAGAGGUGAAAUUCGUAGAUAUUUGGAAGAACACCAGUGGCGAAGGCGGCCACCUGGCCAGGGAUUGACGCUGAGGCGCGAAAGCGUGGGGAGCGAACAGG